UUCAUAUAAAAGCUGUGCAAUCUGUAUUUACAAAAUAGUAGUCCAACAGAUUAGUACUUUGCACGAAGAAACAAAAAGAGUUUUUAAAAUUGAA